rnacentral:rRNA from 1 species
GUAUAAGAGACAGCAGUCGCCACGGUAAUACGUAUGGGGCAAGCGUUAUCCGGAUUUACUGGGCGUAAAGGGAGCGUAGGCGGCAGGGCAAGUCAGAUGUGAAAGACCGGGGCUCAACUUCGGGGUUGCAUUUGAAACUGUCCGGCUAGAGUGUCGGAGAGGUAAGCGGAAUUCCUAGUGUAGUGGUGAAAUGCGUAGUUAUUAGGAGGAACAUCGGUGGCGAAGGCGGCUUACUGGACGAUAACUGACGCUGAGGCUCGAAAGCGUGGGGAGCAAACAGGAUUAGAUACCCGCGUAGUCCCUGUCUCUUAUAC